rnacentral:tRNA from 1 species
GGGGAUAUAGCUCAGUUAGUAGAGUGCUUGCCUCAAAUGCACAAGGCCCUGGGUUCAAUCCCCAGCACCA